UGAAUGUAAGCUAAUGUUUAUAUUUUGGAAGAUGUAAGCUUUAUAUUAUGUUUAGAAGCUUAAUGUAUAAUCAAGUGUAUUAUGAAGGCUGAAUGAAUGUAAUAGAUAGAUGUUCCUCUCUUUAUCAUUACUUGUAUGUUCUAUACUUGUAUCUUGCUCUUGGUUGUUUUGCACUGAUUGUGCUCUCGUUGUAGUUAUCGAUUGUGUAUGUAUUCAAGUUAUUUUCCUGGGAACUUGUUGUACACAAUCUUGUUGUUAGCCUUGGGCGGACAGGGGAGGUGCUGUCCGUCCGGCGUCUGUUCGACGCGCCCGGGUCGAGCCAAAUUGGUAGCGGUCGCGGGGCGUGACAGAAGCUACCACACGGAGAUUAAUUGAAAAGCCGAAAAGGUUGAAAAAAAAAUUUGAAUAUUUUAUAAUUUUCGGAGUUAUAAGGUGUUAGUUUGAAAAAGAAGCUCAAAGAGCCACCCCCGGUAUCAUAUUAGUUAAAUCUCUAUUUUGAACGAAUUGCGACAAAUUGGUGUCAAUUUUGCUGAAUUUCUAAAAAUCAUUUUUCGUGAACCGUUACAUCUUGAUGAUUUUGAAACUCGAGGUCAUUUUUUAUAACAAAAUUGUGAUGUUUCGAUAUAUUUUGAAAUCUUAUAAUAUUUUACCAUCAUUAUAAUGAUUUUUGAAGUAAAGUCCUUAAUUUGUAUGAAAUUAAUUUAAGUUUAAAGGGUUUUUAAAUUCAAAUUUUUGAAAUCUGGAAAAGUGUACCGGUACAAAAUCCCGUGUACCGGUACAAAUUACUGUAGCCGCGGAAAUAAAACCGGUUACAGGGCUUUUAUUCUCCUCCAAAUCUAAAUCAAAUUUCGUUCUCUCUCUCUCUAUAAUCUCCAGGAGACUUCCUCUUCCAGAUCUACUCAGUUUUCCCAAAAAUCUGU
rnacentral:lncRNA from 1 species